UGGGGAAUUUUGCACAAUGGAGGAAACUCUGAUGCAGCGACGCCGCGUGAGUGAUGAAGAUCUUCGGAUUGUAAAACUCUGUCCUUAGUGAAGAUAAUGACAGUAACUAAGAAGCAAGCCCUGGCUAAAUACGUGCCAGCAGCCGCGGUAAUACGUAUGGGGCAAGCGUUGUCCGGAAUUAUUGGGCGGAAAGGGUACGUAGGCGGUUUAAUAAGUCCUAAUUAAAAGGCUAUGGCUCAACCAUAGUAUGGUUAGGAAACUGUUGAACUUGAGUAGAUGAGGGGAAAGUGGAAUUCCAUGUGUAGCGGUGAAAUGCGUAGAUAUAUGGAGGAACACCAAUGGCGAAGGCAACUUUCUGGAAUCAAACUGACGCUGAGGUACGAAGGCGUGGGGAGCAAACAGG
rnacentral:rRNA from 1 species